GCCUCCCCGGGACCCAGGCUUCGUCUCAGCCCCGGUCUCACCGUGACCAGGACGCAGUGGAGCAGAAAGCCUGGAUCAGGGUGAAGUGGAUCUGCAGCGCCGCGUCGCCGGCUUCUUCCUCGUCCGCCGCCAGCAGGCACAGCACCACGUUGUCCGGGUCCCUGCGGGGACACCGCGGUCAGCGACCACAGCCCGCCCGCCUGGCCAGGCGCCGGAGCCCUGCCUGACCCCUCGGUGGCAUUUCAGCUCCGAGUUCCUCAGAGAGACAGCGGCAAGAACGUGGGCCAGAGGCCUCCCCAGCUGCUGUGUUUGUCCGGGGGGUGAUGCACAACUGUAAAGUGCAGUCCUGACCAGGAAAGGCCGGAGGAGAGAGCUGCCACGUAAACGUCUGGGUUGGGAUUUCUGCAGCGCUACGCCGGGUGUGCCUGUCCAGUGAGGCAGAAGUUAUCAGCGCGAAUGUGGCGAUCAAUGAAUUUUCAAAUACGAAGUGCCUGAAAACUGGGCCCCGUGUGGCUAGUAAUUUGGCCUCUUUAUUGCAAAUGCCCACAUGCGAGCGGACAGCGUGUGACAAAGCACGCGGCUUCCUACCGUGCACCCUUCAACUUUGUUUUCUUGCUGUGUGGAAUAAAUACAUCUGGUUGUUGGUGAUCAUAUACACAUGAUAGCCGGUUUAUUUCUCAGUUUAUAUUAAAAUAUUUUGAAUCUG